UACGUAGGGUGCAAGCGUUGUCCGGAUUUAUUGGGUUUAAAGGGUGCGUAGGCGGUUUAGUAAGUCGUAGAUGAAAUGUUUGGGCUCAACCUAGGCACUGUUUACGAUACUGCUAGACUUGAAUAAGCUUGAGGUGGCUAGAAUGAGUGGUGUAGCGGUGAAAUGCGUAGAGAUCACUCAGAAUACCAAUUGCGAAGGCAGGUCACUGGAGCUAUAUUGACGCUGAGGCACGAAAGCGUGGGGAGCAAACAGG
rnacentral:rRNA from 1 species